UUAGUGGCGGACGGGUGAGUAACGCGUGGGUAACCGUGCCUCACACAGGGGGAGUAACAGUUGGAACGACCGCUAAUACCGCAUAACCCGCUGGUAUCGCAUGAUACUGACGGAAAGAUUUUAUCGGUGUGAGAUGGACCCGCGUCUGAUUAGCCAGUUGGCAGGGUAACGGCCUACCAAAGCGACGAUCAGUAGCCGGCCUGAGAGGGUGAACGGCCACAUUGGGACUGAGACACGGCCCAAACUCCUACGGAAGGCAGCAG
rnacentral:rRNA from 1 species